GCGCGGCCAGUCAGCCCUGCGGUGCGGUGGGCAUUGCCAGAGCAGGGCGCCCCCUGCAGGGACGCACCCGGGGCGGGGGCCAGGCUGGGGCGAGCCCCCCUUGGUUCUGGAGAGGAAAUGACAUACAGUUUGUGAAAGCAUAAAUAUUCGUGAAAAUAAGAAAAUUCAGGAAGGAAACAAAGCUUAAGGCAGUGAUUGAUAGGUUAUUUCUUGGACACAGCUGAACGUAUACUGUGCGCCUGCAACUUUCCGGUGGUUUCGGACCGGACUUCAGUGAAGCCAGUGAAGUCGGUCGACUUGCAGAACUUCCUUUCAGAGGGGCGUACACAGCACCGCGGCCGUGUGCCUGUGAUCUCCUUCUGAGUUUGAAAAAGAAGAUCCUAGACACCGAGCCAAAUAUGUUUGCAUAAACCGGGAGACUUGUGGCUCUAUUUUGUAACAGCUUGGCGCAGGGCAGCUGGUUUGGAGAUGUCUCUGUUCUUCCCUUGGUGGGGGUGCCGGAAAAAAUGUGCUGCCUGGGCGAUCGAGGUUGGGGCAAAAGCGUUGCAAAGGAAAAGGUGGGAGGACUCUACUUUCACAUUUCCCAAAAGAGUUUUACCAUAAGACUAUUUCUGGAUUGUUCUAACGUGAGGAUAUUGGGAGCAUUUUGAAAAUACUGGAGGAAAAGCUGUCACUGGGCGAUUUAAAUCCGGUAAGUUGGCCAAGGCAGAGCAGCUGCUGGGGUCAGCGACAGCUGACCCUUGCAGCUGAGUAUCUUGCCCUCUUAAUCUUGGAGAUCAGCCCAAGGCCCAUGUGUUACAGGAAAGGGGUCCCGAUCUAGACCCCAAGAGAGGGUUCUUCGAUCUCACGCAAGAAACAAUUCAGAGUAAGUCCACAGUGCAAAGUAAAAGCAAGUUUAUUAAGAAAGUAAAGUGGUGGCUGGGCACAGUGGCUCACGCGUAAUCCCAGCACUUUGGGAGGCUGAGACGGACAGAUCACCUGAUGUCAGGAGUUCAAGACCAGCUGGCCAACAUGGCAAAACCCCGUCUCUACUAGAAAUACAAAUAUUGGCCGGGCGUGGUGGCGCAAGCCUGUUGUCUCAGCUACUCACGGGGCUGAGGCAGGAGAAUCGCUUGAACCCGGGAGGCAGAGGCUACAGUGAGCCGAGAUCGCCACUGCACUCCAGCAGGGCAUUCCUGAAAAUAAGAGGAGGGACAUAUCCAACUAAGGAAGCUGGAAAGUCCAAGAUCAGGGAGUCAGCAUCUGGUGAAGGCCUUCUUGCUGUGUCAUCCCAUGGUGGAACAUGGAAGGGUAAGAGAGCACACGCAAGAGACAGCAAGAGCCAAAGGGGGCCACACUCAUUUUUCCAUUAGGAGCUCACUCCCAACUCCACGAUAAUGAACCCACUCCCACAAUCAUAGCAUUAAUCCAUUCAUGUGGGUGAAGCCCUCAUGACCUAUUCACCUCUCAAAGGUCCCACCUCUUAACACUGUUUCACUGGGGAUUAAGUUUCCAACAUAUGAACUUUGGAGAACAUAUUUAAGCCAUAGUAUCCCUCCAGACCCUCCUCUCCACCCUCCUCUGCCAUGCUUGGUGUCCUGAAAUGCUGACCUUUAUGAAUUGCAUCAUCCAGUCUACUUUGCCCUAGCUUCUGGUCAGGUUCAGCCAACGAAAGGCACUGGAGGCAGGGGCUAGAGGAGAAUGAGAUCAGAGUAUUUAUAUCCUGCUCUCUCCCUGCAAUGAAUUGGUAUUCCCAUAACAAAUUGGUAUUCCCAUAACAAAGGCUGCAACUCUUAUCAAGUGGCCGAUAUUCUAAACACACCUGCCCUUGCCCCCCUCAGAUCCAGGAGAGGUAAAGGCUUCCUGCUGUUGCUAGCUCUGUCAUGCUUCACCACCCCUUAACCUUGCCCACAUCCCUGCAAGCGGUCCUUCACUACAUGCUCCUGAGACACCCAGUUUGAGAUGCUGUUUACUUCCUGAUGGAACCUUGACCACACAGACAUCAUUGCUAUUUCCAUCCUAGCACACGUCCUCAGGCCACUGCACCUCCCCCAGGCAUCAUCAAUAAUUCUUCAUGUCCUCUUGAAGCACAUGUGACAUGGCAUUCCUGCUGCACAGCCACCUGUGGCAACAAGGAAGGGAGCAGCUCUCCCUGCUCAGCAUCACUCUGUUAGAGGAUUCUAAGGGGAUGAACUGCUUGUGCUCCAAUGUCUUCUAGGGUUUUUAGUGAAAUGGCUCCUUCUGUUUUACCUUCAUGAGGCUGGAGGAGGAGUCCUGAGUGGGGAGGUGCUGAGUUGGAAGGAGCCAAGAGCCAUGCUCUAGCAGAGAGGGCACUGCCUUGGGUACAGGUGCUGGGCCUGGGAGCUGACUCUGCCACUAAAAGGCCAUGAGACCAUGGACAAGUCACUCUCAUUUUCAGGCCUCCAUUUCCUCACCUGUAUCACGGGGGCCGGACUCAGCGAUUCUCAAGCUGCUCUGGGCCCCCAGCCUUACUUCUGCCAUAGCAGCUCCUGUUUGGUCUAUUUUAGAAUGUGAGCUUUUGUGAAAAUUUCCUUUAAGGAAUGGGUUCCACUGCUUUAAAAACACUUGGAAACAACUGGACUAGAAGAUCUAAGGUCCCUUCCAGCCCCUACAUUUUUGAGCAUAAAACCAAUCUUGUUUUUUUCACCAUUGUGCCAAGGAAGCACUGGUUCCAAGAAUUAAUGGAAAAUAGAUGAUUAAAGGCCCAUCUCCUGCCAGGCUCGCUGCCAUGGCAAAUCUACCAUGACUGGGUAAAAGGUUUUGCUUCACAUCCAUCCUCAGCACCUUCUCACUUCCUUCUCACUUGCUUCUGCCACUAUUCCUAAGCAAGCUAAAGAAAGGGAAAUUUUAAAUCCAUUGCAUAAAAUGCAAACCAGCCUAGUAAACAAAAAUGUGGAAAAGAUGGCAAGGGAUAAAUCAUGUGCCUUUUCAGCCUUUAUAAACAGACCUUGGGAGCUUUACAAAGGCUUGACUUAUGGCAAUGGAAGCUGGCAGCCCUCCGUAGUUCAUUCCAGAUGUUUGGUGCUAGAGAGAAUUACAGGGCAGUGGUUAAUAGUUUGGGCUCUGCGGUCAGAAAGAUAUGAGUUCAAUUCCUUGUGCUUCCAUUCACUAACUGGGUGAUCUUGGUUAGAUGUGCUGGACUGUAAAAUCAUCAUCAUCACCAUAUCUAUUUUAUUGAGUUAUCAUGAGGACUGGGAGUGAGUUAAUACAUGUACAAUGUUUAGCACAGUGCCUAGCACAUAGAAAAUACCCAAUAAAUUAGCUCUUUGAUGUUAUUGUUGUUAGAAUUACUACUCCCAUUGGCUUCCAGGAAGCUCAGAGAUCAGAGCUCAGUUGAAUAUUCAACUAAAAAAAUCCUCCGGCUGGGCAUGGUGGUUCAUGCCUGUAAUCCCAGCAUUUUGGGAGGCCAAGGCAGGCAGAUCACCUGAGGUUGGGAGAUUGAGACCAUCCUAGCUAACACGGUGAAACCCUGUCUCUACUAAAAAUACAAAAAAUUAGCUGGGUGUGGUGGCACAUGCCUACAAUCCCAGCUACUUGGGAGGCUGAGGCAGGAGAAUUGGUUAAACCCAGGAGGCGGAGGUUGCGGUAAGCUGAGAUCGCGCCACUGCACUCCAGCCUGGGCAACAAGAGUGAAACUCCAUCUCAAAUAAAUCAAUAAUAAAAAAAAAAAACUUCUAGGUACCAUUUGCUUCCUUUCCAUGUCCAUUUAUGGCAUCUUUUAAGAUAGUUGUUAUUUAUCGAGUGCUUAUUUUUGCCAGGACUUACAGGCACUACCCUACACCUAGCACAGUGCUUAGGGUAUUGGAAAUAACUCAAUAAAUUGUGGCAGAAUAAAUGAAUGAUCUUAUCCAAUGCUCCCAGCAACUCUAAGAAGUAGAUAUCAUUAUCUCAAUUAUAGUAGACUUUUUUUGUUAUUAUUGUUGACAUCUGAGACUACUUCCUGAUUGUGGGGAAUCUGCCCUUGUGUGAGGGUCUCAUCUUGGAUGCUGAGAAAGUGAAAAACUCCCCUGGACCUCUGGUAGCAGGAACACAGAUAUACAAACCAAGUACAGCUAAUCAGAUCCUCACCUGGGACUUUUUUUAAAUUUUAGUUUUUAUUUAUUUAUUUAUUUUGAGACGGAAUCUCGCUCUGUCACCCAGGCUGGAGUGCAGUGGUGCGAUCUCGGCUCACUGCAAGCUCUGCCUCCUGGGUUCACGCCAUUCUCCCGCCUCAGCCUCCUGAGUAACUGGGACUACAGGUGGCCGCCACCACCCCCGGCUAAUUUUUUGUAUUUUUAGUAAGACAGGGUUUCACCGUGUUAGCCAGGUUGGUCUCAAUCUCCUGACCUCAUUAUCUGCCCACCUCAGCCUCCCAAAGUGCUGGUAUUACAGGCUUGAGCCACCACGCCCGGCCACCUGGGACUUUGAAAUCUAGACUGGGCUGGGCAUGGUGGCUCACAUGUUUAAUUUCAGUACUUUGGGAGGCCGAGGUGGGUGGAUCAUUUGAGGUCAGGAGUUCGAGACCAGCCUGGCCAAUGUGGUGAAACCCUGUCUUUACUAAAAAUACAAAAAAAUUAGCUGGGUGUGGUGACGCGUGCCUGUAAUAUCAGCUACUCAGGAGGCUGAGACAGGAGAAUCGCUUGAACCCAGGAGGCGGAGGUUGCAGUGAGCCAAGAUCACACCAUUACACUCCAGCCUGGGCAACAAAAGUGAAACUCCAUCUUCAGAUGGAUAAAUAAAUAAAUAAAUAAAUAAAUAAAUCUAGACUGAACAAAGUAAUUGGAAUUCCUUCUGCGGUUGAUGGCAAAGCAUUGGUGGCACUGGGGCCAGUAGAGUAGUGUCCCAGGCCAAGUAGUGACCACAAUACCAGCAAAGGGCCCAGUGUUCAUCUACCUACAAUCCAUUUUGGAAGGAGGUAAGGUCUUGUAAAUAACAUCAUAUGGCAUUAAUUUGGCAAGAGUUUCUACAUCUUGCCAGCCCAUUACUUUACCAACAUUCCUUUUCCUUCUGUAGUUUGUGAGUUCCCUUGAAACUUAAUCAACCUCAAACUCUCUCAAGUGACUCCCCUCUCAGGAUGUUUGGCUUCCAUCCCCUCAGCAGCCCUUGUUGCCUCUAAGAAGAUAAAGCAAAACUUGUGCUGCAUCUCUUCCUCCCAUUCUUUUCCUACCCAUUUUAUGCACAAACCAUGCCAAUGCCAGGCAGUUGGCUGUCUUCUGUUGAAAACAAAAACCUUAGAGUGAGUCUUGUUGCCACAUAUGUGUGUGCUUGGGUUGAGGGCUGAUUCAUAAAUCUUCCUUAAGAAAAAAAGGCCUCUGGGCAAGCUGGCAAAGGCUGGCUUUCAUUUAUUUGUUUUUUGUCACCUCCUUGAUAUCUCCUGCCUUGCUCCAGAAAUGUGUUAGACCUCAUGGGGAACACUGACAAACGCACAUACAAAAUAAGGAAAAGAAUGAUGAAUUUCAAAUUAGGAUACCCGGGUUGGAAUGCUGGCUUGGUCACUAUCUGCAAAAACUUGGGUAGGUUACCUAACCUUUCCUAAGCUUCAGUUUCCUUAUCUGUAAAAUGGGCUCAGCUAUACUCAUAUUCCAUGGACUGUGGGGAAGUUUCAGUAGGAACGCAUCUAAAAGCAUCCAUCAAAGUGGCUGGUUCAAAGAACCCUCCCAUAAAUGUGUGUUGCUGUCAAUUGAAAUUCCCCCAGAUGGUAAGGUCCUACACCUCCAGCUACUGGGGAUAGGGACAUGUGAGAGUUGGGGUACAUGGCAACAUGGGAAAACCUAUUUGCAAUUGUGUUAUGUUGGUUUAGAUCAGUCAAAUAUCUUUUUCUAUUUCUUGGCAAGAAUGCUUGUCAAAUAGAGCACGCAGGGACCCUGAGCAACCAGGACUGUUGGCAUGACAAGCGGGCGAGCAGAGGAUGGGGGAGCCAGAAGAGAAGGUGCUGAAAGGAAGAGCUGAAAACAAGCUUGACCCAUCACUCAAAGUUGUCUAAUAGUCCUUGAAUCCAGAUGCCUCAUGGCCCUAGGAGGGCCAAACACACUCGGGGGUUGGAAAGGAAGCAUCACAGUGCUGGUGUCAGGAUACCUGAGUUCCAGCCUUGUCUUUGACAUUUAUGAGGUGUAUAAACUGGGAGGGUCACUUCAGCUCUCUGAGCCUUAGUUUUGUGUACUGUAAAGUGGGAGAAAUAAUACAUCCCUCACAAAGGCAUAAAUAGGCCAGGUGCGGUGGCUCACGCCUGUAAUCCCAGCACUUUGGGAGGCCAAAGCGGGUGGAUAACCUGAGGUCAGGAGCUCGAGACCAGCCUGGCCAACAUGGUGAAACCCCAUCUCUACUAAAAAUACAAAACCCCCAUCUCUACUAAAAAUACAAAAAUUAUCCAAGUGUGGUGACAGGCACCUGUAAUCCCAGCUACUUGGGAGGCUGACUACUCAGGAGAAUUGCUUGAACCUGGGAGGCGGAGGUUGCAGUGAGCCGAGAUCAUGCCACUGUACUCCAGCCUGGGUGACAGAGUAAGACUCCAUCUCAAAACAAACAAACAAACAAAAACAAGACAAAGGCAUAAACAAUAAACAAGAGAUUGAUUUUUUUGGUAACAGCUUUAUUGCAAUAUAAUUCAAGUACCAUAAAAUUCACCACCCCCGCUUUUUUUCGAAACAGGGUCUCACUCUGCUGUCACCCAGGCUGGAGUGCAGUGGCAUGAUCACUGCUCACUUCAGCCUCGACCUCCUAGGUUCAAGCGAUCCGCCCACCUUUGUCUCCCAAGUAGCUAGGACUAUAGGUGCACACCACCACACCCAGCUAAUUAUAAAAUUUUGUUGUGGAGACGGGCUCUCAUCACGUUGCCCACGCUGAUCACGAACCCCUGAGCUCAAACAAUCUUCCUGCCUCGGCCUUCCAAAGUGCUGGGAUUAUAGACAUGAGCCACCACACUGGGCCAAAAUUCACCCUUUUAAAGUAUGCAGUUCUGUUUUUUAGUGUAUUCACAGAGUUGUGCAACCAUCACCACUAUUUCAUAGUAGAACAUUUUUAUAACUCCUAAUGGAACCAAUACUGUUAUCAAUCACUCUCUAUCCUCCCUCCUGAGAGAUCGACUUUAAACUAUUUGGUGCUGUACCCAUUUUGCUUUGUAUAGAUAACAGUUGAUCAUUGCUACACAAUAGUCAGUAGUCUGCUCAUAAGUAAUAUCACAAUUAUUCUUCAGACUUAGUAAGAGCUGGCUUGAGAACUGUGUCAGGAGUAAGUUCGGCAGGGGAAUGGUAGAGAUGAAGAGGCUUAAAGAACAGUUUGUUUCUCUCUCAUAGAAUAAUCCAGGUAGCUCCAGGUAGCUCACAGCUCCAUCUUCCCUAGGGCACGAGCAACUUUCUCAGGAUACAAAAUGUCAGCUAGAGCUCCAGCUGUUAUAUCCUUGUUCCAGACAGCAGGAUGAAGACAGAGAUGAAGAUUGCAUGCCAUUGGCUUUUAAGGAAAGGUCUCAGAAGUUGCCACAAACACUUCUACUAACUUUUUUUUUUUUUGAGAUGGGGUCUUACCCUGUCACCUAGGCUGGAGUGCAGUGGCACGAUCUUGGCUCACUGUAACCUUCGCCUCCUGGGGUCAAGCAAUUCUCCUGCCUCAACCUCCCGAGUGUCUGGGAUUAUAGGCGCCCGCCACUACACCUGGCUAACUUUUUUUGUAUUUUUAGUACAGAUGGGGUUUCACCACGUUGGCCAGGCUGGUUUCAAACUCCUGACCUCAAAUGAUCCGCCUGCCUAAGCUUCCCAAAGUGUUAGGAUUACAGGCGUGAGCCACCAUGCCCAACCACUUCUACUAACAUCUAAUUGACCAGAACUCACUAGUAUGAUCAUAUCUAGCUGUAAGAAAGGCUGGGAAAUUUAGCCUUAUUCCAAAGAGCCAGUUAAAAAUUGGGGUUUGCAUUAUUAUGAAAGAAAAGACCAGGUAUUUGGUAGAUGUAUCAGUCAGCAAAUGCUAUAAUAAUUCUGCAUAACAAACCAUGAGCAUACAACAAUGAGCUUUUGUUUUCCUUGCCCUCAGGGCUGUGGGUUGGCUGGGAGGCUCUGCAUCAGGCUACAGGGCUGCCGGGCUUGGUGGAGGUAUACUGCACUCACACUAAUGGAGGGCACUGCAAAAUCACAUAACAAAGGGUAUGAGUGUAAAAUUCUAACACCAGAAGCGUCUGCAGAAUGAUAAACAAUGAUUCAUUUAUACAGAGGACAACCAAGAUUGCCAGGAAAUUCAAUGUCUGCAGUCUUGGUCCCCGGAGACCUCCCAGGAACCUGCUGCUGCUGCUGUCCUACAAUUCAGCUCCCAGUGUAGCUUCCAGUUCUGAUGAUCCCACUUCCCCGGUUACAGAUUAAGCUAGUCCAGCCUCUCACAUGAGCUUUUUAGGCCACAGUCCCUAGUUUCAGCCUAACCAGACACCUGCAGCCUUUUCUCUAAGGUUUUGCCAAGACAAACAGAGUAGUUCAGGAUGCCUCUAAGGGAGAAGGAAAGUGGGAAAAAUCAUUUGGGAAAAAUUCAGAGUGCAGAAGCAGCCUGCCUGAAAAGUUGCUGGAACAGACAAAAAUAAAACAACCUGGGGAAAAUAAAACAAAACAAAACUCAGGCUGGACCUGGACAGAUAAACAAACAGGAUCCCGCACAGGAGUUCUUUAUUCUUUGUCUAAUUAGCAAGCUCCCAGGAAAAAAUUUUCUCCCUUUUUCAGUCAGAUACAUGGUGAGAACUUGCACACGGAGGAGGGGGGAUUACCUAAAACAAACUCACAGUAUACAAACAAGAGAAGCUGUGCUUUGUGCUUACCUAAAAACAUACCCACAGCUGCAUGAGAUAAGGGGCGUCGCACAGACAGCCUUACUGAUAAGAGAAGUUACUCAAACUGCUACAGAGAUGAGAGGGGUUUCUCAGCUGUAACCUGGCAAUCCACUCUGACUCCUCUCUCUGCUGCAGAGAGCUUUAUUUCUUUCACUUAUUAAACUUUCCCUCCAACACCAUGUUUGUGUCUGCGUUCCUAAUUUUCUUGGACAUAGGACAAAGGACCUGGGGUACCAGUUAAGACAAAGAGAAACUGCUACAUUAAGGUGGGUUGGUGAGACUGCAACACCUCUAUGUAGGGCCAGAAGCCAUUUUCCUCUGCCCCACUUCCCCGGGGGCCAGCCAGAGUCAGACCCAUUUUUCCCGUUCAAAUUCCCCAAACACAAAAGCUUCAUCAUGCCAUUUUCUAUUACAAUUGGGCUUGAAGGUACAUCUACAAGAGAGUGAAAGCCCAGGCAACUUGUCCCUUGAGUUACAAAGAAUUCCGUUUAUCUUUCCUGGGGUAAGACUAAGUCUACAGCAGUAAAAAUUCAGCACUCAGAUUGGUUUUCAAAGGCUGACCUUUCCAUUAUUUACAUUCUUAAUGAAUCAUCCUGCUUAAUUGUAAUCAGUGGAGCUUAAGGCAAAUUUCCAAAAGGUUUGGUCAAACUUUUGGUGUAAAUAAUCUCAGUGUAUCUAUUUCAACUUUACUUAGUCCGCUUCCAUUAGUAACAUGAAGAAGCAUUUUCUUGGGUACAACCCAAAGUUAGCACCAAUUAUGAAAUCUAUUGGUUAGUUCAGCAAAUUAAACAGUUACUUUUGUUGUUGUUUUUUGAGACAGGGUUUUGUUCUGUAGCCCAGGCUAGAGAGCAGUGGUGCCAUCUCAGCUCACUGCAACCUCUGCCUCCUGAGCUCAAGUGAUCUUCCCACCUCAGCCUUCCUAGUAGCAGGGACCAUAGGCACCUGCCACCAUGCCCCGCUAAUUUUUUUUUUUAUUUAUUUUUUGUAGAGAUGGGGUUUCUCCAUGUUGCCCAGGCUGGUCUCAAACUCCUGGCCUCAAGUGAUUCACCCGCUUCAGCCUCCUAAAGUGUUGGGAUUACAAGCAUAAGCCACUGCACCCAGCCAAAAUGGUUACUUUCAGUAACAGCUGUG
rnacentral:lncRNA from 10 species